UACGUAGGUGGCAAGCGUUUGUCCGGAUUUACUGGGCGUAAAGAGCGCGCAGGCGGUCGUUCAAGUCGCGUGUGAAAGCCCCCGGCUCAACUGGGGAGGGUCACGCCGAUACUGAUCGACUGGAAGGCAGGAGAGGGUAGUGGAAUUCCCGGUGUAGUGGUGGAAAUGCGUAGAUAUCGGGAGACACCAGUGGCGAAGGCGACUACCUGGCCUGUUCUUGA
rnacentral:rRNA from 1 species